rfam:Rheinheimera sp. A13L DRAFT__contig00052, whole genome shotgun sequence.
CUACUGACAUCGGGAGGUGUUGGGAUGGAUACUCAGAAGUCAGCCGAGGCUGUAGUAGUGCUUUUAACCGACAGCACGAAGGGC